GAUGAACGCUGGCGGCGUGCCUAAUACAUGCAAGUCGAGCGAACAGAUGAGGAGCUUGCUCCUAUGACGUUAGCGGCGGACGGGAGAGGACCACGUGGAUAGCCUACCUAUAAGACUGGGAUAACUUCGGGAAACAGGAGCUAAUACCGGAUAAUAUAUUGAACCGCAUGGUUCAAUAGUGAAAGACGGUUUUGCUGUCACUAAUAGAUGGAUAAGCGUCGCAUUAGCUAGUAGGUAAGGUAACGGCUUAGCAAGGCAGCGAUGGGAAGCCGACCUGAAAGGGUGGUCGGCCAGCUGGGAUCUGAGACUGAUCCCAGACUCUGACGGGAGGACGCAGUCGGGAAUCUUCCGCAAUGGGCCAGUGCCUGAUAUAGCAACGCGGCGUGAGGGAUGAAGGUGUUCUGACCGGAAAGCUCUGUUGGUAUGGAGGUUGAAAAGUGCAAUUAACCAUGCACGUCUUGACGGUACCGGGUCAGAAAGCCACGGCUAACUACGUA
rnacentral:rRNA from 1 species